GGGAGAUUUCUUCCUUUUUUUUUUGAACCUAGGGAGAUUUCAUUCUUCGUGGUCGUAGCCACUACAAAAUGACAUGCAUCCAGCUGCACUGCAUGCACCGCCUAAAAUUUCUUCACAGCACAGGCAACAAUAGCGUGGAAACGUGUUUUUCUAACAAGGCCUUGUUUAGUUCCCAAAAAAUUUUGCAAAAUUUUUCAGAUUCACCGUCACAUCGAAUCUUUAGACGCAUG
rnacentral:lncRNA from 1 species